rnacentral:lncRNA from 1 species
GUAUUUCUGCAGUAUCUGUUGUGAUUUCUCAUUUUUCAUUUCUUAUUUUGUUUAUUUGGGUUUUCCUCUUCUCUUCUUAGUGAGUCUAGCUAGAGGUUUGUCAAUUUUGUUUACCUUUUAAAAGAAUAAGCUCUUGGUUUGAUUGUUUUUUUUUCUAUUGUUUUUUGAAUCUCUAUUUUAUUGAUUUCUUCUUUGAUCUUUAUGAUCUCCUUCCUUCUGCUGACUUUAGGGGGUUUUUUGUUCUUCUUUUUCUAAUUCAUUUAGGCGGUGGGUUAAGUUGUCAAUUUGAGAUCUCUCUUCUUUUUUGAGGAAGGCCUGUAUUGCUAUGAAUUUCCCUCUGAGCACUGCUUUUGCGGCAUCCCAUAGAUUUUGAGAGCUUGUGUCUUCUUAUCAUUUGCCUCGAGGUAUUUUUUAAUUUCUUUCUCAAUUUCCUCAUUGACCCAUUGGUUUUUUAGUAGCAUGUUGUUUAGUCUCCAUGUAGUAGGUUUUUUCUCAUUUCUUUUCCUGUGGUUGGUUUCUAGUUUCAUGCCAUUGUGGUCAGAGAAGAUACUUGAAAUAAUUCCUAUACUCUUAAAUUUGUUGAGGUUAGCUUUGUGCCCCAACAUGUGAUAAAUUCUUGAGAAUGUUCCAUGCAUACUUGAGAAGAAUGUGUAUUCUGAUUUUUUUGGAUGUAAUGUCCUGAAAAUGUCAGUUAAGUCUAACUUUUCCAUUGUUUCCUUUAGGAUCUCUGUUGCUUUAUUGGUUUUCUGUCUAGAGGAUCUGUCCAUUGAUGUGUGUGGGGUAUUAAGGUCUCCUACUAUGAUUGUAUUCCCAUCAAUUUCUCUUUUUAUUUCUGUUAAUAUUUGUUGUAUGUAUCUGGGUGCUCCUAUAUUUGGGGAAAAUAUGUUGAUGAUUGUAAUAUCCUCUUCUUGAAUGGAUCUUUUUACCAUUAAAUAGUGUCCUUUGUCUUUCUUUACGGCCUUCAUUUUAAAGUCUAUUUUGACUGAUAUGAGUAUUGCUACCCCUGUUUUCCUGUCUUGUCCAUUGGCAUGAAAUAUCUUUUCCCACCCCCUUGCUUUCAAUCUAUAUGUGUCCUUUGUCCUAAGGUGAGUUUCUUGUAGGCAGCAGAUUGAAGGUUUAUGCUUUUUUAUCCAGUCAGCCACUUUGUGUCUUUUGACUGGAGCAUUCAGUCCAUUGACAUUUAAGGUGAUAAUUGAUAGAUGACUAUUUAUUACCAUUUUAAACCUCAUUUUCCAGUUGAUUCUAUGAUUCUCCAUUCUUCCUUUCUUUUUUUGGUUGGAUGGUCUCCAAUUAUUUUCUGCUUGAGUACUUUUUUUUUCAUUUUUUUGAAUGUAAUUUUUGGUUUUGAUUUGUGCUUGUCCUGUUUUUUAAGUAUGUUAACCUCUUCCUAUAAUUGUGUGUUUUAGCCUGACAGUCCUGUAGGUUUAAACGCUUAAUUACCAUAAUAAAAUUUUUUAAAAGAGAAAAGAACAAAAAAGAAAAAAAA